UCGGUAUGGGAUGGGGAUGCGUUCCAUUAGUUAGUUGGCGGGGUAACGGCCCACCAAGACAACGAUGGAUAGGGGUUCUGAGAGGAAGGUCCCCCACAUUGGAACUGAGACACGGUCCAAACUCCUACGGGAGGCAGCAGUGAGGAAUAUUGGUCAAUGGACGAGAGUCUGAACCAGCCAAGUAGCGUGAAGGAUGACUGCCCUAUGGGUUGUAAACUUCUUUUAUAUGGGAAUAAAAUGUUCCACGUGUGGGAUUUUGUAUGUACCAUAUGAAUAAGGAUCGGCUAACUCCGUGCCAGCAGCCGCGGUAAUACGGAGGAUCCGAGCGUUAUCCGGAUUUAUUGGGUUUAAAGGGAGCGUAGGUGGAUUGUUAAGUCAGUUGUGAAAGUUUGCGGCUCAACCGUAAAAUUGCAGUUGAAACUGGCAGUCUUGAGUACAGUAGAGGUGGGCGGAAUUCGUGGUGUAGCGGUGAAAUGCUUAGAUAUCACGAAGAACUCCGAUUGCGAAGGCAGCUCACUGGACUGCAACUGACACUGAGGCUCGAAAGUGUGGGUAUCAAACAGGAUUAGAUACCCUGGUAGUCCACACAGUAAACGAUGAAUACUCGCUGUUUGCGAUAUAC
rnacentral:rRNA from 1 species